GACGACCGCUGGCGGCGUGCCUAAUACAUGCAAGUAGAACGCAGUGGCGAACGGGUGAGUAACGCGUAGGUAACUGCCUUAUAGAGGGGGAUAACUAUUGGAAACGAUAGCAAAUACCUAAUACUGGGAGAUGGACCUGCGUGGUAUUGGGUAGUUGGUGCGGUAAAGGCUCACCAAGGCGACGAGACAUAGCCGACCUGAGAGGGUGAAUGGGCAAACUGGGACUGAUGCAAUGGCCAGACUCCUACGGGAGGCAGCAGUAGGGAAUUUUCGGCAAUGGACGGAAGUUUGACCGGGCAACUCCGGGUGAGUGAAGAAGGUUUUCGGGUCGUACAGCUCUGUUGUUAGAGAAGCGGUAACUAACCAGAAAGGGACGGCUAACUACGUGCCAGCAGCCGCGGUAAUUC
rnacentral:rRNA from 1 species